rnacentral:tRNA from 1 species
GCCCACUUAGCUCAGUUGGAAGAGCAACUCCAUGGUAAGGAGUAGGUCGACGGUUCGAAUCCGCCAGUGGGCU